rnacentral:rRNA from 1 species
AGAUUGAACGCUGGCGGCGUGCCUAACACAUGCAAGUCGAGCGGUAACAGGUGUAGCAAUACAUGCUGACGAGCGGCGAACGGGUGAGUAAUGCUUUGGAAUCUUCCCAGUAGUGGGGAAUAACCAGUCGAAAGAUUGGCUAAUACCGCAUACGUCUGUAAAGGGAAAGCGGGGGCUCGUAAGACCUCGCGCUAUUGGAUGAGCCAAAGUCGGAUUAGCUAGUUGGUGGGUAAUGGCCUACCAAGGCGACAAUCCGUAGCUGGUCUGAGAGGACGACCAGCCACACCGGAACUGAGACACGGUCCGGACUCCUACGGGAGGCAGCAGUGGGGAAUAUUGGACAAUGGGGGAAACCCUGAUCCAGCGACGCCGCGUGGGGAUGAAGGCCUUCGGGUGUAACCCUUCAGCAGGACGAAGCGAAAGUGACGGUACCUGCAGAAGAGCGCCGGCUAACUACGUGCCAGUAGCCGC